UACGGAGGGUGCAAGCGUCAUCCGGAUUCACUGGGUUUAAAGGGUGCGUAGGCGGGCAGGUAAGUCAGAGGUGAAAUCUCCGGGCUCAACUGGGAGAGGUCAAGGGAAACUACCGGGCUAGAGUGUGGCAGAGGAAGCUAGAAUUCCCGGUGUAGCGGUGAAAUGCGUAGAUAUCGGGAGGAAUACCUAUGGCGAAAGCAGGCUUCUGGGCCGUCACUGACGCUGAGCUGCGAAAGCUAGGGGAGCAAACAGG
rnacentral:rRNA from 1 species